CUGAGAUUGAAGAAACAGAUAUGAGUUCUCAGAUUCAUUCAAAUGCUUCAGAUGUCAAAGUUGUUGGUGUCUUCAAAAAGAAAGGUACCAAACUAUAUGAAGCAAGCUUGAAGGAUGAGAAGCCUUUAGAUCAAUGGCUUCAUUGUUAAAUUAAGCAAGUGUUUUAGUAAAUAAAUUUAAUUUUUCCAUCAUGUUUACACCUU